rnacentral:rRNA from 1 species
GCCCCCCUCCCAACCCCUUAAAGGGAUACUAGAGCUUGAAAGACCACUAUCCUAAUGUCUUCGGNUGGGGCGACCGAGGGGGAACACUUAACCCCCAUGCAGAAGUGAAGGCCUCCUUCCAAAAACAAGAGCUACCGCUCUAAUUCUCANAACCUCUGACUUAUAAUGAUCCGGCAAUGCCGAUCAACGGACCAAGUUACCCUAGGGACAACAGCGCAAUCCUCUUUAAGAGACCCUAUCGCCAAGAGGGUUUACGACCUCGAUGUUGGAUCAGGACAUCCUAAUG